AUACGGAGGAUGCGAGCGUUAUCCGGAUUUAUUGGGUUUAAAGGGUGCGUAGGCUGUGCGUUAAGUCAGGGGUGAAAUGCCGUCGCUCAACGACGGAGCUGCCCUUGAUACUGGCGUGCUGGAGUACGGAUGCCGUUGGAGGAAUGAGUGGUGUAGCGGUGAAAUGCUUGGAUAUCACUCAGAACACCGAUUGCGAAGGCAUCUGACGAAUCCGUCACUGACGCUGAGGCACGAAAGCGUGGGGAUAGAACAGGAUUAGAUACCCUGGUAUUCCACGCCGUAAACGAUGAUGACUAACCGUCGGCGAUAGACAGCCGGUGGCCAAGCGAAAGCGAUAAGUCAUCCACCUGGGGAGUACGUCGGCAACGAUGAAACUCAAAGGAAUUGACGGGG
rnacentral:rRNA from 1 species